UGGGGAAUAUUGCACAAUGGGCGCAAGCCUGAUGCAGCAACGCCGCGUGAGUGAUGAAGGUCUUCGGAUUGUAAAGCUCUGUCUUUUGGGACGAUAAUGACGGUACCAAAGGAGGAAGCCACGGCUAACUACGUGCCAGCAGCCGCGGUAAUACGUAGGUGGCAAGCGUUGUCCGGAUUUACUGGGCGUAAAGGGUGCGUAGGUGGAUAUUUAAGUCAGAUGUGAAACCCCUGGGCUCAACUCAGGGACUGCAUUUGAAACUGGAUAUCUGGAGUGCAGGAGAGGUAAGUGGAAUUCCUAGUGUAGCGGUGAAAUGCGUAGAGAUUAGGAAGAACACCAGUGGCGAAGGCGACUUACUGGACUGUAACUGACACUGAGGCACGAAAGCGUGGGUAGCAAACAGG
rnacentral:rRNA from 2 species